GAGUGGCGAACGGGUGAGUAACACGUGGGUGAUCUGCCCCUAACUUCGGGAUAAGCUUGGGAAACUGGGUCUAAUACCGGAUAGGACAAUCGUUUAGUGUCGGUUGUGGAAAGUUUUUUCGGUUAGGGAUGAGCCCGCGGCCUAUCAGCUUGUUGGUGGGGUAAUGGCCUACCAAGGCGUCGACGGGUAGCCGGCCUGAGAGGGUGACCGGCCACAUUGGGACUGAGACACGGCCCAGACUCCUACGGGAGGCAGCAGUGGGGAAUAUUGCACAAUGGGCGCAAGCCUGAUGCAGCAACGCCGCGUGAGGGAUGACGGCCUUCGGGUUGUAAACCUCUUUUAGCAGGGAAGAAGCGAAAGUGACGGUACCUGCAGAAAAAGCGCCGGCUAACUACGUGCCAGCAGCCGCGGUAAUACGUAGGGCGCAAGCGUUGUCCGGAAUUAUUGGGCGUAAAGAGCUCGUAGGCGGUCUGUCGCGUCUGCCGUGAAAUCCCGAGGCUCAACCUCGGGCUUGCAGUGGGUACGGGCAGACUAGAGUGCGGUAGGGGAGAAUGGAAUUCCUGGUGUAGCGGUGGAAUGCGCAGAUAUCAGGAGGAACACCGAUGGCGAAGGCAGUUCUCUGGGCCGUAACUGACGCUGAGGAGCGAAAGCGUGGGGAGCGAACAGGAUUAGAU
rnacentral:rRNA from 1 species